UACGUAGGGUGCAAGCGUUGUCCGGAAUUAUUGGCGUAAAGAGCUCGUAGGCGGUCUGUCGCGUCUGCUGUGAAAACUCAGGGCUUAACCCUGAGCUUGCAGUGGGUACGGGCAGACUAGAGUGCGGUAGGGGAGACUGGAAUUCCUGGUGUAGCGGUGAAAUGCGCAGAUAUCAGGAGGAACACCAAUAGCGGAAGGCAGCUCGCUGGGACGGUACUGAC
rnacentral:rRNA from 1 species